rnacentral:rRNA from 5 species
GAAGUUUUCAGAGAUGAGAAUGUGCCUUCGGGAACCGUGAGACAGGUGCUGCAUGGCUGUCGUCAGCUCGUGUUGUGAAAUGUUGGGUUAAGUCCCGCAACGAGCGCAACCCUUAUCCUUUGUUGCCAGCGGUCCGGCCGGGAACUCAAAGGAGACUGCCAGUGAUAAACUGGAGGAAGGUGGGGAUGACGUCAAGUCAUCAUGGCCCUUACGACCAGGGCUACACACGUGCUACAAUGGCGCAUACAAAGAGAAGCGACCUCGCGAGAGCAAGCGGACCUCAUAAAGUGCGUCGUAGUCCGGAUUGGAGUCUGCAACUCGACUCCAUGAAGUCGGAAUCGCUAGUAAUCGUGGAUCAGAAUGCCACGGUGAAUACGUUCCCGGGCCUUGUACACACCGCCCGUCACACCAUGGGAGUGGGUUGCAAAAGAAGUAGGUAGCUUAACCUUCGGGAGGGCGCUUACCACUUUGUGAUUCAUGACUGGGGUGAAGUCGUAACAAGGUAACCGUAGGGGAACCUGCGGUUGGAUCACCUCCUUACCUUAAAGAA